GGGUGCGAUCGUACCAGCACUAAAGCACCGAUCCCAUCAGAACUCUGCAGUUAAGCGUGCUCGGGCGAGAGUAGUACUGGCUUGGGUGACCCGCAAUUUCUUUUCCUUCUUA
rnacentral:rRNA from 22 species